GGGGCAAUGGCGCAUCUGGGAGCGCGUCAGACUGAAGCUCUAACUUCGGCCAUAGGCUUCGUCCGAAAGGACGUCCCUGUUAAUCUGAAGGUGGCCGGUUCAAGCCCGGCUUGCCCCA
rfam:Aspergillus brasiliensis CBS 101740 unplaced genomic scaffold ASPBRscaffold_8, whole genome shotgun sequence.